rnacentral:rRNA from 1 species
AACCUCCGCAAUGUGAGAAAUCGCGACGGGGGGAUCCCAAGUGCCAUUCUUAACGGGAUGGCUUUUCAUUAGUGUAAAGAGCUUUUGGAAUAAGGGCUGGGCAAGACCGGUGCCAGCCGCCGCGGUAACACCGGCAGCUCUAGUGGUAGCAGUUUUUAUUGGGCCUAAAGCGUCCGUAGCCGGUUUAAUAAGUCUCUGGUGAAAUCCUGUAGCUUAACUGUGGGAAUUGCUGGAGAUACUAUUAGACUUGAGACCGGGAGAGGUUAGAGGUACUCCCAGGGUAGAGGUGAAAUUCUGUAAUCCUGGGAGGACCGCCUGUUGCGAAGGCGUCUAACUGGAACGGUUCUGACGGUGAGGGACGAAAGUUAGGGGCGCGAACCGGAUUAGAUACCCGGGUAGUCCUAACUGUAAACGAUGCGGACUUGGUGUUGGGGUGGCUUUGAGCUGCUCCAGUGUCGAAGGGAAGCUGUUAAGUCCGCCGCCUGGGAAGUACGGUCGCAAGACUGAAACUUAAAGGAAUU